UCUGGAAACCAGCCUGAACACUCCUGUAUCACCUGAUUUCAGAAGCUAAGCAGGAUUGGGCGUGGUUAACACUUGGAUGGGAGACCAUGGAAGACUAUCGGGAACACCAGAG
rnacentral:rRNA from 1 species